CCCCGUGUGGCUCAGUUGGUAGAGCAUGGUGUUUGCAACGCCAGGGUUGUGGGUUCGAUUCCCACCGGGGGGC
rnacentral:tRNA from 1 species